UACGGGGGGGGCAAGCGUUGUUCGGAAUUACUGGGCGUAAAGGCUCGUAGGCGGCCAACUAAGUCGGACGUGAAAUCCCUCGGCUCAACCGGGGAACUGCGUCCGAUACUGGAUGGCUUGAGUUCGGGAGAGGGAUGCGGAAUUCCAGGUGUAGCGGUGAAAUGCGCAGAUAUCAGGAGGAACACCGGUGGCGAAGGCGGCUCGCUGGGCCGUUGCUGACGCUGGAGGCGCGAAAGCGUGGGGAGCAAACAGG
rnacentral:rRNA from 1 species